UUUGAAAGACUCUUGACACUUCUGAGAUGUGUAAUAAAUUCUCCAUGCAGGUUGUAGCAUGGGAACUGCUGGCUCAACAUAUGAAGCACCAGAAGAAAAAGCGACCCCUCGGGCUGCUCCAAAGCUGGGCUGCAUCUGCGGGUGACAAGCUGAGAACCAGGGCAACCUCACAAAGCCCACCGAGGAAACAGAAGCACCGAGAGGUGAAGAAAUUGCUGAAAGUCACAACAGCUACCAGAGCCAGGGGAAGAUUCAAACCCCAGGAGACUGCUGCCCACAGAGCAGGGCCUGCAUCGGA
rnacentral:lncRNA from 1 species